rnacentral:rRNA from 1 species
GUGGGGAAUAUUGGACAAUGGGCGAAAGCCUGAUCCAGCAAUGCCGCGUGAGUGAUGAAGGCCUUAGGGUUGUAAAGCUCUUUUACCCGGGAUGAUAAUGACAGUACCGGGAGAAUAAGCUCCGGCUAACUCCGUGCCAGCAGCCGCGGUAAUACGGAGGGAGCUAGCGUUGUUCGGAAUUACUGGGCGUAAAGCGCACGUAGGCGGCUUUGUAAGUUAGAGGUGAAAGCCUGGAGCUUAACUCCAGAACUGCCUUUAAGACUGCAUCGCUUGAAUCCAGGAGAGGUGAGUGGAAUUCCGAGUGUAGAGGUGAAAUUCGUAGAUAUUCGGAAGAACACCAGUGGCGAAGGCGGCUCACUGGACUGGUAUUGACGCUGAGGUGCGAAAGCGUGGGGAGCAAACAGGAUUAGAUACCCGGGUAGUCC